rnacentral:rRNA from 1 species
UACGGAGGAUCCGAGCGUUAUCCGGAUUUAUUGGGUUUAAAGGGUGCGCAGGCGGGAGAUUAAGUCGGCGGUGAAAUUUUGCGGCUCAACCGUAAAAGUGCCUUCGAAACUGGUUUCCUUGAGUGUGGAUGAGGUAGGCGGAAUUUGUGGUGUAGCGGUGAAAUGCAUAGAUAUCACGAGGAACUCCGAUUGCGCAGGCAGCUUACUAAACUACUACUGACGCUCAGGCACGAAGGCGUGGGGAUCAAACAGGAUUAGAUACUCGUGUAGUCCCU